rnacentral:rRNA from 1 species
AAUAGAUACCCAGGUAGUCCACGCCGUAAACGGUGGGUACUAGGUGUGGGUUUCCUUCCUUGGGAUCCGUGCCGUAGCUAACGCAUUAAGUACCCCGCCUGGGGAGUACGGCCGCAAGGCUAAAACUCAAAGGAAUUGACGGGGGCCCGCACAAGCGGCGGAGCAUGUGGAUUAAUUCGAUGCAACGCGAAGAACCUUACCUGGGUUUGACAUGCACAGGACGCACCUAGAGAUAGGUGUUCCCUUGUGGCCUGUGUGCAGGUGGUGCAUGGCUGUCGUCAGCUCGUGUUGUGAGAUGUUGGGUUAAGUCCCGCAACGAGCGCAACCCUUGUCCUAUGUUGCCAGCGGGUUAUGCCGGGGACUCGUAGGAGACUGCCGGGGUCAACUCGGAGGAAGGUGGGGAUGACGUCAAGUCAUCAUGCCCCUUAUGUCCAGGGCUUCACACAUGCUACAAUGGCCGGUACAAAGGGCUGCGAUGCCGUGAGGUGGAGCGAAUCCUUGUAAAGCCGGUCUCAGUUCGGAUCGGGGUCUGCAACUCGACCCG